UACGAAGGGGGCUAGCGUUGCUCGGAAUUACUGGGCGUAAAGCGCACGUAGGCGGCUUUCUAAGUCGGGGGUGAAAUCCUGGAGCUCAACCCCAGAACUGCCUUCGAUACUGGAGAGCUUGAGUCCGGGAGAGGUGAGUGGAACUGCGAGUGUAGAGGUGAAAUUCGUAGAUAUUCGCAAGAACACCAGUGGCGAAGGCGGCUCACUGGCCCGGUACUGACGCUGAGGUGCGAAAGCGUGGGGAGCAAACAGG
rnacentral:rRNA from 1 species